AGUUGCAUUUUGUGGGAAAGUUCAAGUUUUUAUAUGAAUCAAAAUCUAUGAGAAAUCAAUGGUACUUAUGGGCAGUGUUCUAAAACUCGAUCUAGGGGCCGUCUAGGUGCUAGGCAGUGGGUAGCCACUAGGAUUUAACCAAAAUCGGAAGAAAAAUAAGGAAAGAAAUUAGGCAGACGUUGGACAGCCUAGACGGGUGUCUGAGAGGCCUAGGUGGCCUAGGCAGGCGACUGGGCGGUACCUGAAACUCUCCGACACAUUCGCGACUCAUUCUCUCUCAGCUGCAACAUCAUCGGCGUGUAUUGUCAUAAGUUAGAUAGUUCAAUAUGGCCCAAUGAACGUUUUAGAAUGGUAUGCAAUUGGUUUGAUGACUCCUUAAUCUUAUUAGAUUCUGUCAGAGAAAGGCGAUACAAACCUAAGUUUUGUAGAGGUGAAUCUCCUAUCAAUUGGAUUUCGUGCUCUACAACCUUCCUUGGUGGUAAUCCUUGCACAUCUUAAAAAAAAGUUUUUGAACUCCUUUUGCAAUUUUUCAAUGUUGGAACAUUGUGUAAAGGAGCCACGAUAGACAAAGUCACAGCUUUAUAAAUCUGAUCUUGUGUUUGAAUCAUUAGUAAAACAAAUCUUUCACAUGAAUUAACCAACCUCUUGGCUUGGUUAACUAUCAAGAAGUUUUAUGUACUUUGAGGCUUACAAGCAUUGAUAUGGAACUUUUUCUCGUCCUUUACAAGAUGAUACUUGUGAAGCCCCAUGCAGUGAAUUGCAUCAUGGUCCCACAAAUACAGAUUGUUAGAAUGACUUGGCACACGUCUAAUGGAACCAUCUCGCAUGUCACCUCAUCAAUGAAACGAUUGGUGAUUGCAAAUUUGAAGAUACAUUGCUUCAUGAUCUACAAGUCAACAUCCUUCUAAAUCCAUCCUAACAAGUAUGGUUUAGGAUAUGGUGUGGUGUAUAAGCCCACCUUCUGAACUAGAGCCUCUAAAAUCAAGUUCUUCUGACUUCCAGGGUCAAUGAUAGCUUGCACAACAUUUUGUUUCACCUAAAUAUUCACAUGAAACAACUCUUCACCGUUAUGAGAAUCUACAACAUCUGUUGGUUUGGUCAUAAGGGCAAGAGUAGCAUCAGGCUGCCUCACUUCUAGAAGCUCUUCUGAUUGUUGUGUAGUCAAGGAUUGUUGUCGUCAUCGUCUGUCUGUGACAACAACUUACUUUAUAUUGCGAGGGAGAUUCUGAAGAAGAAGAAGAUAGAGGUUGAUGUUCCUUAUGUCACAGCAACUGCACCAUUUUGUCACAGCAACUGCACCAUUUUGGUUUUUUCAUAGAACAUGAAGAGCUCCUGCUAGGCUUUGGUUUCCAUAAAUAUUACAACAUGCUCUUCAUUACCAAACCUUAAUGGAAACAUGAACGAAGAUGCAAUUCCAAUAAAAAUGAGAAUUACGUAUUCAAUUGUAAACUACUAAUAUAGCUUUGAUUAAUUAAAGCAAAAAUAAUUGAAAGAACAAAACCAUUUUGGAAGUC